CAAGACAACUGAAGCUGACUCCAUGAUCACCUUUAACAAUAGGACCUCAGAAACACCACCGCCAGUUCUUGGUAACUUCCCAGUCACAGGCCAAAUCUGACCAACCUAUAAGCGUCAACAGGAGUGGCAAUACCAAACAACUCGGAUUGUAGAAUUCUGGCCAGCAUUUUGUCC